ACUCCUGACCCCAAGUGAUACACCUGCCUCAGCCUCCCAAAGUGCUGGGAUUACAGGCCUGAGCCACCAUGCCUGGGCUCUCCAUGAAAUCUUGCAAACAUCCCAUGGCUUUCCUGUGAAUUAGUUGCAGCCCACAGCUUGGCCUGUAUCUCAUCUAAGGCAAAAGAGGGGAACUAGAACAUGGAGAAAUAUUCCCAGGAGUCUACCACCCUCCUGAUACUUCCUCUUGGAAUAGUUCAGUAGAAUAAUGAUUUUUUUUUUAAAAAGUAUUCCUAUAAUUAGGAAGGAUAAGCACUGACAGAUAUGACUUAUUUCCUUACCAGCAUUUCAAAGUCAGAAUCAAUUUCAAGCCAACUGUAAACCCAUUUGUAGAUAUACUGCCUGUAGUUCAGUUAAGAAGAAAUGGUUUCUUUCUGAAAUAACAGAAUUAACUGUCAUACCUAAUAUCUAUGUCUGUGUCUGUAUCAGUGAGGGGAUUGUUGGCUACUGCGGGGCAGGGUCUGGGACAGAGUAGGUGCUUGCUGUAUGUUUUUGAAUUACGUAACUUCUUUAUAGGUGGCUUAUAGGUAGUUUUAGUUUCUCAAAUGGCUUCUCUAAUGGCACCAGUCUUAUUCUUUGAUCUUGUUCUUUUAGGCUUGCAAAGGGUGGCAUUAAGUAUAUCCAGCACUGCAGCUAAGGCUUCAUGUGCAGACACAGGCUUACCCUCUCAAGAGCUCACAAGGAGAAGUGAGAUCAAAGUGUGUUGGCACGAUGGUGGGGGGCCUGGAGGAGCUUUUUUGCUCCUCAUGAUCAUAGCAAGCAUACCCUGUGGAUUUGUGUCUAGGCCUCAUUCUGUAGUUGACAUUGUUCUUGAGUAGAAAACCAUCGAAACCCACCAGUGUGGUAAGAUGAAGGAAAUAGUAUCUUAUGUCCAUUAAAAGGGACUGCUUGUUAUUCCAGAAAAUUAAUGUAUCUGAAGCCAAGGCAUGCCUUUUGAAAUUUAGCAAUUGAUUCAGCAAUGCUUGGCAUUUAUGGUGCGAACACAUUGUGGAGAAAUUGAGUAACUUCAGAAAACCCCAACAUGUCUUUUUCUUUUAAAGUAGAUCUAACAUGGAUGCCUGCCUCUCAUCUGAAGAUGGGCGAAGCAUAAUUGCAUUGAUGUAGGAAGCAGCUUGAGAAGGCAAGAUAUGCAUUCCUAUUUAAUGGUUACCUUACUUUGAGUCAGAUACCUGAUUAACUGAAUUUCAGUUCUGAGGUUUUCUCAAGUCUGCACAAGUCCAUUUCCCUGUAUUCCCUAAGCCAAUAUCGUUGAAACUCUCUUAAGUGGAGGCAAGUUACAGCCCUCCAGUAUAAACAGUGGCACUAUUGAUGGGCAGUUGAUACCAUUUGAGAAUCUGAACCAGCGAGCGCUGACAGGGCUGUGAGGAAAUGUGCCACGGUGGGCUUCACUGUCCAUUCCAUCCCUGAAUGAAUGCAAGCCUUUGAGAGGUGUGCUACUAAGGAUCCCACAUGGUGGAUUGAGUGUCUUGGUUUUAAAUAAAACAGGAGCAGUAAGGAAGCUUGUUGUGACAAAUGGAAUCGCUGCGCCCUGCCCUCCACCUUGCCUCACAAUCUAACAAGAGCCUUUGGCAUAGGAAUCGGAAGGAACUGCUCAGAGGAGUCAAUUACAGCACAGAGGCAAGAGAAGAGAGACCAUGUCUGGCCCUUGGCCAGUUGUACUUCAGAGCAGACAGGCACUGUCAGCCCUUUCUCUGCUUCUUUCUACAGAGAGUUAAGAAAAGAUGCAUUUGAUGGUGGUGAGAAGUGGAGAGAAAUCCCUCCUUUUUCAAAGUCAUCUUUUGCUGCAAAACUACCUUAGGUCUACCCAAACAUAAAUUCCUGGAACGCACUUUUCCUGGAACUCCAAUGGAAUGCAAACACUGAUUUUGAACACCUAAUAUUAUUCCAGCACUUUAUUAUGGCCCAUGCCCUGUUCUGAGCAUUUUACAUGGACUUUACCCAUUUAAUCCUUAAAGUGAUAUUUCAACCAAUGAGCUAUGCCUAAUACUGUGUUCCUUGUGUUCUUCUUAGGGUUAUAUGGUAACCUCAGAUAUAUGUGUUGGCCCCCAUUAGUUCCCAAAAAAUAUUUUUUCCAGGAGUAGGGCUACAUUUUAUAAAAUAAGAAUGGUUUAUAAUAAAAUAAAAAGUGUAGCUUACAGUAACUUUUUGUUAUUCGAAAUGUAUAUAAAAAAAGAUACCAACUUAUACAAAACUUCGUUUGUAUUCUUUUAAAGUUUUGUUCCUGUUUUGUUAAAUGAUAGGCCUUUUGAGAUAGAUUUAUUUGAAAGCCAUAUGUGUGCAAUUCUUGGGACAGAAGAUUUCUCCAUUUAGCAUUUAAAGUUAUAAACUCUGUACUCUAGUGAUUCUUGAAGUAAUUUGGAAUAUGGAAAUAUGAAUAGUUUUACCUCCAUCACUCUGGUUAUUGUCCCAUGUUCUAAAAUCAUAACAUAAAAAUAUAAACUUACUAUGGAACUCCUUGUUGUCUUAUCAUGCGCCCCUUACGGGCUCAUUAAUGGGCUCAUUGAUGCCAAUGUCCACUGAGGGAGCUGAGAGGAGGGGCAUAUACAGGUAAUGAUGUCUUUUCAUGAGAAGAA